rnacentral:lncRNA from 1 species
CAUCUUUUUGCACUGUGUUUCCUUUCCAUUGAAAUGGAUGGAUUGAGAUAAUGUAAUGACAGCGUAACUUAUGUCAUUUACGUAAUUAAUCAUGCCAGUGACAUGACCCGUCUCUAGUGUAGAAUAUAGGAAGAUGCCUUGUCCAUCUAGCCAGUAUUAUCUACCUUAAGACUGUAUCCGCAGUAUACGUUUCAAGCAGUAUCAUACCACUUUAGAGCGGUACUUCUAGUUACGAAUUAAAUUCGUUCCGGAGGUCCAUUCUUAACCUGAAACUGUUCUUAACGAGAGGCUUGCUUUCACUAAUGGGGCCUCUUGCUGCCGCUGCACCAUUCUCAUCCUGGGGCAAAGUUCUCAACUCGAGGUAACUCUUCCAGGUUAGUGGAGUUUGUAACCUGAGGCGUUUGUAACUCGAGGUACCACUGUAAACAGUCAUGGCUUCCCCCAAAAGAAUCCUGGGAAAUGUAGUUUGUUAAGUGUUAAGUUGUGAGUAAACAUAUCAGACGACACAGUGAUUCUUCAAACGGCUCUUGUUUAUUCACAGGCCAGGACAGAACUGAACUGAAGGGUUCAGCCAGCCUGCAUAUAUAGAGCUCCACUACAACGCAACAGUAACAGCUUUCUGUAACUAUCCAAUCACUGAACGUCACUUUCAAUUCCUUAUUGGACCUGAGUGAAAACUAUCUACAGUAUUCCAUGCUGGCCCAGGGAAGGUCCCUGUUGUUGCAGCAGUGCUGAGAAUGCAAGGAGGAGGGAGAGUUGGAAAGGACCCCAAGAGUCAUCUAGUCCAGCCCCCUGCAAUGCUGGCAUCACAGGUCGACAAACCAUCACUUCACAGUGGAAAAUUUGGGGUGAUCCCAACUGACCAGCAUGGCACACAACGAUUGGGACUUUAGCAGCCGCAGAGAAAAGGACACAUAAAAUCCAGGUUGUGCAUGGAAAACCGCAAUGAUUUUCAGCCACCUGGCAGAACUUUAUUGCACCUGCAUCCAGCAAAGAUUUUGAAUAACACAAAACCAACAACGUAACACGAACCCUGGAACUUGAUAUCCUUUGAGGUCAUGGCGUGCCCUGUGUAUUGGACUGAUCCGGUUGUUGUAGGCCCCUGUACCCUUUUUCCUGUUCUAUAUUGUAUUGGAUAAAUAAACUGCUGCAAAAAAACAGGCUAUACUGUCACUUCCCUAUCACACAACCUAAUUACAUU